GAAAAAUGAAAUCUGAUGAUGGAAACCAAAUAUUGAAAUGCAAUAAACAGAUAUUUCCUGUCUAUGCAAGAUAAAGGAAGGAGAGAGUCGAUUCUUUCAAGAAAGGAAUGGAUCUGUAUCAAAGGAAACAAGGAAAACGGAAGUUAUACUAUAGACAGGCUGUCAGGCUGUAUUUAAACAAAAGACCUCCUGGGAUGAGGAGAAAAAGAAACAAGUAGAACCUGUAUUUCUUGUCGAGUACUUGAUGAUGUCAUCAGAAUAUGAAAAUGAUUGGGAAGAUGACACAAUAUAUGAAAUCACAUCUCUAAAGUGGCGCUCUGACGAAUGUUUAAUUGGACACCAAAAGUUCUGCUCUGAAAUCCAAAUGUUCAAAAAGGCAAAGUAUAAGACGUAUAAGGACCAACAAUGAAUCAUCUAGAGACAAACCAGAAAAUAUAUCAAAUGAACAGAAAUGGGCCAUUUGAGAUUUUUAAAAGAGUUGCAACUGUCAUGUAUAAUUAGCUCACCUAAGCUGAAAGUUAUUAUAUGGUUUUACUGAUAUGCAAGCAUUUUGACAUAUACAUUGUUGAUUGUAUAAAAUUGUUAACUCCGUCCCAUGGACAAUUUUUGUUCCUCGCUAGAGGUUCAUAUUUUGAUGUAGGUUUAUUAUCCAUGUAUAAAGAGUUGUUUAACACUUCUUGAGAACUGCAAAGCUCAAUAUGUGAUAUGACUAUAAAAUCAUUGCAAAAUAGCUUGAUGUAUUGUUGUAGUAUGAUGAACCUAAAAAUAUGCUGGGUAUUUUUUUAAAUACAGGAUCUGAUAUUACUUGUUCAACUCAUACUGUUAUAUAAA